rnacentral:rRNA from 1 species
CCUACGGGCGGCAGCAGUGAGGAAUAUUGGUCAAUGGCCGGAAGGCUGAACCAGCCAUGCCGCGUGAAGGUCAGUGCCCUAUGGGCGUUAAACUUCUUUUGUGCGGGGGCAAUAAUGGUCACGUGUGGCCAGACGAGAGUACCGUACGAAUAAGCAUCGUCUAACACCGUGCAAGCAGCCGCGGUAAUCCGGGGGAUGCAAGCGUUAUCCGGAUUUAUUGGGUUUAAAGGGUUCGUAGGCUGUGAGGUAAGUCAGCGGUGAAAUGCCCCCGCUCAACGGGGUGAAGUGCCAUUGAUACUGCCUUGCUGGAAUGCGGAUGCCGUGGGAGGAAUGUGUGGUGUAGCGGUGAAAUGCAUAGAUAUCACACAGAACACCGAUUGCGAAGGCAUCUCACGAAUCCGCGAUUGACGCUGAUGCACGAAAGCGUGGGUAUCAAACAGGAUUAGAUACCCGUGUAGUC